rnacentral:rRNA from 1 species
CCAGACUCCUACGGGAGGCAGCAGUGGGGACUCUUGCACAAUGGGGGCCCCCCUGAUGCCGCGCCGCCGCGUGCGUGCCGAAGUAUUUCGGUAUGUAAAGCUCUCUCAGCAGGGCAGCAACUGACGGUCCCUGACUAAGAAGCCCCGGCUAACUACGUGCCAGCAGCCGCGGUCAUACGUAGGGAGCAAGCGUUGUCCGGAAUUACUGGGCGUAAAGGGCGCGUAGGUGGGCGCUUAAGUCAGGUGUGAAAACUCCGGGCUCAACCGGGAGACUGCACUUGAAACUGGGUGUCGUGAGGGCAGGAGAGGAAAGUGGAAUUCCUAGUGUAGCGGUGAAAUGCGUAGAUAUUAGGAGGAACACCAGUGGCGAAGGCGACUUUCUGGACUGUACCUGACGCUGAGGCGCGAAAGCGUGGGUAGCGAACGGGAUUAGAUACCCUAGUA